AUUGAACGCUGGCGGCAGGCCUAACACAUGCAAGUCGAGCGGAUGAAGGGAGCUUGCUCCUGGAUCCAGCGGCGGACGGGUGAGUAAUGCCUAGGAAUCUGCCUGGUAGUGGGGGAUAACGUCCGGAAACGGGCGCUAAUACCGCAUACGUCCUGAGGGAGAAAGUGGGGGAUCUUCGGACCUCACGCUAUCAGAUGAGCCUAGGUCGGAUUAGCUAGUUGGUGGGGUAAAGGCCUACCAAGGCGACGAUCCGUAACUGGUCUGAGAGGAUGAUCAGUCACACUGGAACUGAGACACGGUCCAGACUCCUACGGGAGGCAGCAGUGGGGAAUAUUGGACAAUGGGCGGAAGCCUGAUCCAGCCAUGCCGCGUGUGUGAAGAAGGUCUUCGGAUUGUAAAGCACUUUAAGUUGGGAGGAAGGGCAGUAAGUUAAUACCUUGCUGUUUUGACGGUACCAACAGAAUAAGCACCGGCUAACUUCGUG
rnacentral:rRNA from 1 species